GAUGAACGCUGGCGGCGUGCCUAAUACAUGCAAGUAGAACGCUGAAGGAGGAGCUUGCUCUUCUGGAUGAGUUGCGAACGGGUGAGUAACGCGUAGGUAACCUGCCUGGUAGCGGGGGAUAACUAUUGGAAACGAUAGCUAAUACCGCAUGACAACAGUUAUUGCAUGAUAACUGUUUAAAAGGGGCAACUGCUCCACUACCAGAUGGACCUGCGUUGUAUUAGCUAGUUGGUGAGGUAACGGCUCACCAAGGCGACGAUACAUAGCCGACCUGAGAGGGUGAUCGGCCACACUGGGACUGAGACACGGCCCAGACUCCUACGGGAGGCAGCAGUAGGGAAUCUUCGGCAAUGGACGGAAGUCUGACCGAGCAACGCCGCGUGAGUGAAGAAGGGUUUCGGAUCGUAAAGCUCUGUUGUAAGAGAAGAACGAGUGUGAGAGUGGAAAGUUCACACUGUGACGGUAUCUUACCAGGAAGGGACGGCUAACUACGUG
rnacentral:rRNA from 1 species